rnacentral:rRNA from 1 species
AAUGAACGCUGGCGGCAGGCCUAACACAUGCAAGUCGAACGAGGUAGCAAUACCUAGUGGCGGACGGGUGAGUAACGCGUGGGAACGUGCCCCUUGGUACGGAAUAGCCCUGGGAAACUGGGAGUAAUACCGUAUGUGGUCGAGAGACGCAGGAUUUAUCGCCAAGGGAUCGGCCCGCGUUGGAUUAGGUAGUAGGUGGGGUAAUGGCCUACCAAGCCGCAGAUCCAUAGCUGGUUUGGGCGGAUUGUCAGCCACACUGGGACUGGGACACGGCCCAGACUCCUACGGGAGGCAGCAGUGGGGAAUCUGAGACAAUGGGGGAAACCCUGAUCUAGCCAUGCCGCGUGAUCGAUGAAGGCCUUAGGGUUGUAAAGAUCUUUCAGUGGGGAAGAUAAUGACGGUACCCACAGAAGAAGCCCCGGCUAACUCCGUGCCAGCUGCCGCAGUAA